rnacentral:rRNA from 1 species
AGGUGGGAUUAGCUAGUUGGUGAGGUAAGGGCUCACCAAGGCGACGAUCCCUAGCUGGUCUGAGAGGAUGAUCAGCCACACUGGAACUGAGACACGGUCCAGACUCCUACGGGAGGCAGCAGUGGGGAAUAUUGCACAAUGGGCGCAAGCCUGAUGCAGCCAUGCCGCGUGUGUGAAGAAGGCCUUCGGGUUGUAAAGCACUUUCAGUCGUGAGGAAGGUAGUGUAGUUAAUAGCUGCAUUAUUUGACGUUAGCGACAGAAGAAGCACCGGCUAACUCCGUGCCAGCAGCCGCGGUAAUACGGAGGGUGCGAGCGUUAAUCGGAAUUACUGGGCGUAAAGCGCAUGCAGGUGGUUUGUUAAGUCAGAUGUGAAAGCCCGGGGCUCAACCUCGGAAUAGCAUUUGAAACUGGCAGACUAGAGUACUGUAGAGGGGGGUAGAAUUUCA